rnacentral:misc_RNA from 1 species
GGUUUGGGUUUGUUGCGCGGGAAACUUGAUUGUUUUACCCAAAAUUUUGGGCUCAAAUGAAAUAGGACCCGUUUCUAAAAUUAAGGUUGUAUAUUCUUUUGCUGAGGUCAGCAGCUGUAAAAAAUUAUGCUUUUGCCCUUUUGUUGCGCGGUGGUCUGGGCCGUCGCCAUCUCCGGAGAAGACGAACGCUCGACGUCUAGUUGCGUGGGUCGUCGCCGCUGCUCGUGAGUUUCUGAGUGGUCGCCGCCGGAGAAUAAGAACUGAGCAGGGAGAAUCGGCG